CCACUCCUACGGGAGGCAGCAGUGGGGAAUAUUGCACAAUGGGGGAAACCCUGAUGCAGCGACGCCGCGUGAGUGAAGAAGUAAUUCGUUAUGUAAAGCUCUAUCAGCAGGGAAGAAAAUGACGGUACCUGAGUAAGAAGCCCCGGCUAACUACGUGCCAGCAGCCGCGGUAAUACGUAGGGGGCAAGCGUUAUCCGGAUUUACUGGGUGUAAAGGGAGCGUAGACGGCGGUGCAAGCCAGAUGUGAAAGCCCGGGGCCCAACCCCGGGACUGCAUUUGGAACUGUGCUGCUAGAGUGUCGGAGG
rnacentral:rRNA from 1 species